GAUGAACGCUGGCGGCGUGCUUAACACAUGCAAGUCGAACGAAGCACCUUGAUUUGAUUCUUCGGAUGAAGAUCUUGGUGACUGAGUGGCGGACGGGUGAGUAACGCGUGGGUAACCUGCCCAUCAGAAGGGGAUAACACUUGGAAACAGGUGCCAAUACCGUAUAACAAUCGAAACCGCAUGGUUUUGAUUUGAAAGGCGCUUUCGGGUGUCGCUGAUGGAUGGACCCGCGGUGCAUUAGCUAGUUGGUGAGGUAACGGCUCACCAAGGCGACGAUGCAUAGCCGACCUGAGAGGGUGAUCGGCCACAUUGGGACUGAGACACGGCCCAA
rnacentral:rRNA from 1 species